rnacentral:rRNA from 1 species
UAGCGGAGGGGACUAGCGUUGUUCGGAAUUACUGGGCGUAAAGCGCACGUAGGCGGAUUUGUAAGUCAGGGGUGAAAUCCCGGGGCUCAACCUCGGAACUGCCUUUGAUACUGCAAAUCUCGAGUCCGGAAGAGGUGAGUGGAAUUCCUAGUGUAGAGGUGAAAUUCGUAGAUAUCUGGAGGAACACCGGUGGCGAAGGCGGCAUCCUGGACCGGUAUUGACGCUGAGGCGCGAAAGCCAGGGGAGCAAACGGG